rnacentral:rRNA from 1 species
GUGAGGAAUAUUGGUCAAUGGGCGAGAGCCUGAACCAGCCAAGUAGCGUGAAGGAUGAAGGUCCUAUGGAUUGUAAACUUCUUUUAUAGUAGAAUAAAGUGAUCCACGUGUGGAUUUUUGUAUGUAUACUAUGAAUAAGGAUCGGCUAACUCCGUGCCAGCAGCCGCGGUAAUACGGAGGAUCCGAGCGUUAUCCGGAUUUAUUGGGUUUAAAGGGUGCGUAGGCGGAAUAAUAAGUCAGUUGUGAAAGUUUGCGGCUCAACCGUAAAAUUGCAGUUGAUACUGUUAUUCUUGAGUGUACAUAAGGUAGGCGGAAUUCGUGGUGUAGCGGUGAAAUGCUUAGAUAUCACGAAGAACUCCAAUUGCGAAGGCAGCUUACCGGGGUACAACUGACGCUGAGGCACGAAAGUGUGGGUAUCAAACAGGAUUAGAUACCCGGGUAGUCC